rnacentral:tRNA from 1 species
GCACUGGUGGUGGAAUUGGUAGACACGCAGUCUUGAGGGGGCUGUGCUUUUAAAAGCGUGCGGGUUCAACUCCCGCUCAGUGCACAA